rnacentral:tRNA from 1 species
CAAUUCCCGUCGUUCGCCCAU